UACAUGGAUUGGUAAGCUUUAGAAAUGUUUGAUGACAACUGUGCGGAUAGUUUAUUUUUGUUCCUUAAUGAAACUUCUCUUCAUGCAGUAAUAUGAUGAGUGUUGCUGCAUCAUUCUAUAAGGCAAUUUUAGCAGUUACAACAGGGAUAUCUGUGCCCUUCAACAACUUGGCUAUUAUAUACAAGCAACAGAGACUAUGCUUUGCAUCGGAAGUGAAUGGCAUCGUUAUCCUUCUUCAUUUUUUAUGCCUUCGUACAUUAAGGAAGUUCAAUGGAUAAAUGAAGGAUUUAGGGGUCUUCUCCCAUAUCCUUUUAAUUCAAGUUUGGGAGGCAUGACAACUACCCCACCUUAUUUCAAUGACAAGAACAAGGGUUCUCAUGGCCAAUAUGUGUCUAUUAAUGGGAUUUUCAAUGUCUUGCUUACCACGCUAAUCCUACUUCUGAUUGGAUUUGCAGCUUCAAGAUUUCAAACUCUACACCUUCUAUAUGGAGCUAGAUUUGCAAAAUCCAUAUCCAACUCGAGGAAGUGACUUAUUGACAUGGGAGAGAACUUAUUGGUAACCAAGGACAUUGUGAAGAUAGCAAAUUUUGGCCUUGCUCGUGAAGUUCAUUCGAAGCCACCAUUCACAGAAUAGGUUUCAACACGCUGUUUACAAAUCUCAAGUACUCCAGAGUUGAAAUUGAUGAAAUGCAGUUCGAGUGGGCA